CCUACGGGAGGCAGCAGUGAGGAAUAUUGGUCAAUGGCCGGAAGGCUGAACCAGCCAUGCCGCGUGAAGGUCAGUGCCCUAUGGGCGUUAAACUUCUUUUGUGCGGGAGCAAUAAUGGUCACGUGUGGCCUGACGAGAGUACCGUACGAAUAAGCAUCGGCUAACUCCGUGCCAGCAGCCGCGGGAAUACGGGGGAUGCAAGCGUUAUUCGGAGUUAAUGGGUUUAAAGGGUGCGUAGGCUGUGAUGUAAGUCAGCGGUGAAAUGCCCCCGCUCGACGGGGUGAAGUGCCAUUGAUACUGGUUUGCUGGAAUGCGGAUGCCGUGGGAGGAAUGUGUGGUGUAGCGGUGAAAUGCAUAGAUAUCACACAGAACACCGAUUGCGAAGGCAUCUCACGAAUCCGCGAUUGACGCUGAUGCACGAAAGCGUGGGUAUCAAACAGGAUUAGAUACCCCGGUAGUC
rnacentral:rRNA from 1 species